CCCGGCGACCGGCGCGCGGGUGAGUAACACGUAUGCAACCUGGCCGCCACAGGGGGAUAACCCGCGGAAACGCGGCCUAAUACCCCGUGACGCCACCGGAGGGCAUCCUCCGGUGGCCAAAGGAGCGAUCCGGUGGCGGAUGGGCAUGCGGCGCAUUAGCUAGACGGCGGGGUGACGGCCCACCGUGGCGACGAUGCGUAGGGGUUCUGAGAGGAAGGCCCCCCACACUGGGACUGAGACACGGCCCAGACUCCUACGGAAGGCAGCAG
rnacentral:rRNA from 1 species